rnacentral:lncRNA from 1 species
GAUGAAGCAGUGAGUGAAACUAUAAUACUGGAAUCACAUGUUCAAUGUUAUGCCUCUGUACCAAACAAAAAAAAAUGUUAAAUAAUCCAACUUCAGUGAUACUAUGUUUUAUUACUUCAAUAUCAAAUCCCUAUUAAUUAGGAGAAAGAAAUUGUUUUCUUGAAUUUGUUUAGACAUAGAAGUACAAUAAUCAAUUUGCUUAAAACACUUAAAUCAACAACAUAAGGGCAACAUUCAUAUAAAAAAAAAGGAAGUUAGACAAGGAAUUGAAACAACAAGGAAAGAAAGGGAUUGUACCUUAAGGAUCAAAGCUUUUUAUUAAUUUAAAAGUAAACUCCAGCCACAUACACGAUAGUUAAGAUGAAUCAGCAACUAAACUCAACCAAACGACCACGGCCGCAUUAGAGAAAACUCGAACAGAACCUCUCGGAAUUGCAAACAGGCAGCUCGACUCGACUCGCACCUGCCAUGUCGUUUUGGACGAUUUCGAGGCUAUUUUUGGGUGGUUUUUGGGUCGUUCUUGGGGUCUGUCUCGCAGCUAGCUUUGCUGCUAUUUUUUUGGGGUAUUUUGGAGCUGUGUUUCGAUUGGAUUUUCAAGGUGUUUGUGGCGCUACUUUGAGCGACUGUUUUGGUGGUUUAAAAUGACGCUACAUAGAUGAAGACAGAGGGAUGAAAGUAGUGUUCUUUGGGUAGUGAGAGUGGCGGCAACUGGAGGCUUAGAGGUUCUCCUAAAAUUCAAAGAAAGACCACCUCCAUCUGUCCAUUCUUCCAUCCUUAUCUCUGUGUGUGUUUGAUUUUUGAAAAAAAGGGGCCU